rnacentral:rRNA from 1 species
UACAGAGGAGCCAAGCGUUGUCCGGAUUGACUGGGCGUAAAGCGCACGCAGGCGGACGCGCGCGUGGGGUGUGAAAUCUGGCCGCUUAACGGCCAGGCGCCAUCCCAUACGGCGCGUCUGGAGCCUUGCAGAGGUCGGUGGAAUUGCCGGUGUAGUGGUGAAAUUCGUAGAUAUUGGGAAGAACACCAGUGGCGAAGGCGGCUAACUGGUCCAGCACUGACGCUGAGGUGCGAAAGCGUGGGGAGCAAACAGG